GGGUCAGAGUUCACUCUCACCUGAAGAUUACCUGAAAGUCUUCAUGGAGACGGAGGUCAAACCGCUCUGGCCUAAAGGAUGGAUGCAGGCCAGGAUGCUGUUCAAAGAGAGCCAUGUGGCUCACAGUCAUCUCACAGGAAAUACGUGAGUA